GGAACAAUAACAUAGCUCAGUUGGUAGAGCACGAAACUCUUAAUCUCAGGGUUGUGGAUUUGAGUCCACGUUGCCAAUAGAUUCCU